AGACGUAGGGGGCAAGCGUUGUCCGGAAUUACUGGGCGUAAAGCGCAUGUAGGCGGACAUUUAAGUCAGGGGUGAAAUCCCGGGGCUCAACCUCGGAACUGCCUUUGAUACUGGGUGUCUAGAGUGUGGAAGAGGUAAGUGGAAUUCCGAGUGUAGAGGUGAAAUUCGUAGAUAUUCGGAGGAACACCAGUGGCGAAGGCGACUUACUGGACUGUAACUGACGCUGAGUCACGAAAGCGUGGGUAGC
rnacentral:rRNA from 1 species